rnacentral:lncRNA from 1 species
UUUUUUUUUUUCUCAAGUCUUUAGUAAAUCCAUUUUAUAAGGCUGGGAAAACUUAGCAUGUAACUGAUUUUUGUCAGUAUCAGAUAGCUAUGAAAAAGAAUCACACCAGAUACAUGUUCCUGAGUCACCAUUUUUAGUGUUUAAAAAACCAUUUUUUUCUAGUUCAAGAUGAUAGUUCUGAAUGCUAAUUCCAAAACCUUACAGUCUGUAUGUGAUAUGGAAUGACUGUGCAUUUAAAAAAACAAAUGGUAAAAGCAGAGGCAGAAUUACUGUGAAGCUAAGGAAGCACAAAUUAUAAGGCUCCUUUGCACAGUCCUUCUCCAGAGCACUGAGAGGGACUCUGGCAAUGAAUUCAGUGACCAUACAUUUUCAUACAAUUGAUAGAAGUAAGACAUAUUAACUACAAUUAGUUAAGACCAGUGUCUUUUCAUGAUGAUUUCUCUAUCACCUUACCUCCUGGUUGGUGUGUCAGAGUAGCCACAUACAUCUUAGAACUCAGUUAAGAUGAGGUUGGGUUUGGGAUAUAUUUAGCCAGAGUUUAGUGGGAUAGGAUUACACGGUCUGCAGAGCUUUAUGUAUAAAUAUACUAUAACCAGCCAAGUAAGUUCAAGACGAGCUUCCAACAAUACUCUUAUCGCUCAGUGUACUGACUCAUCCAUAAUCAUGAACCCUAGAUGGAGGUCAAAUGUCACAUUAUGGCAUGAACAUGUCUUAAUAAUGCCUGGUACUAAAGGUAUAUAACUAAGUCAAGAAGAAAUAUGAGAGAGGUUUUCUCAAAUUUGACAACAAUCUUAAAAAUUUAGAAGACACUAUUAACAAGUUUAAUAAUGAGUUGUAAACUGAAAAAAAAAGUUUUUCUUCUAUCAAUAAUAAAAAAGACUUUUGAUUAAUUUCAAAGGGUACUGUCCUCCCAUUGUAAACACUCAAAAACGAGACAAAGUACAUGAAACAUGAUUUUCAGAUAUUGCACAAAAAAUAGUGCCGAAUUGUGAUGUCUGAAAGAAGGGUCAUGCAUUAGUAGUGAGGCUAAAUUAGUUCCAAAAUAAAGCCCCACCAUAAUAAAGCUUAAAGGCAAGAUUUGAAAGGAUAAAAUGGAUGUGCUUAACUGCACACCAGAACAAAUCCAUCACUCUUUAAAGAGAGGCAACCAAAUCUAGUAACCAACAAUAAAAUCCAGUACCCAAUUAUAAAAUUCACAAGGCUUAGCAUCCAGUCAAAAUUACUAGGCAUGUAAAGGAGUGAGAGAUUAUAACCCAUAAUCAGUAAAAAGAAUUAGAAACAUACCUAGAAACACAGCACAGACUGGAGGGAAAUAUUUACAUAAGACGUAUCAGAUGGAGAAAUGUUACCCAAAAUAUACAAAGAACUCCUUAAAAACUCAAGAAUAAGAAAAAAAUCUAAUUUGAAAAUUGGCCAAAGACCUUAAUAGACACUUGCCAACAAUAUAUAUAGACCUAAACAAUAUUAUUUACCAACUUGACCUGACAUAGAAACAUUAGAAUGACACUAUCAAAUGUGUAUUUUUAAAAAAGAAAUGAAUACAGAAAGAAACUAGAGAUGGAAAAAGACUGGAGAAGAGAGAUGAGCUGGGCACUUGCUACAAUGGUCCAAGCAAGAAGAUGAUACAGAUGGCAGGACUGAAGAAGCGUCAGAUUUAAGAGACAUUUUUGAAGCAGCAGUUAGUAAGAGUGCUAUCAGUAUCAGAGGUAAAGGAAGCCAAGGAUGAAUCCCAGGUUUCUGGAUUGGCCAGGGGGAAAUAAAGCGGAACCAUUAACACAGAAAUAAGUAUAAAAGGGAGGCAUAUAUUAUGAAAAAAGAGCAGAGAUUUGACAAUGUGGAGAUAGGUAUCUUUGUACAUCCAUACAGCAUUAUAUAAUAGCCAAAUAUAGACCUUUAAAUACUAUCAUCCUUCCUAAAAUAUGCUUUGAUCGUCACUCCAUGUCUUCAAACUUUCCCACAGCUUCUCACUACGUGCAGGACGAAGUCUAAAUGUUUCUCUUGUUACUGAAACUUCUCCACAAUCUGGAUCUAAUGUACUCUGUAAGUCUUUACUUCCACUACUCCCUUUAUUGCCUGUUAUAGUCAUUCUCAAAAUGUAGUACUUGGACCUGCGGCAGCAGCAGCAGCCCCUAGAAACUUGUUAGAAAUGAAACUUCACAAGCACUGCCUGAGACCUAUACAUCAGGGAUCAGAAACCAUGGGGGUGAGACCCAGCAAUCUGUGGUUUUAAUAAGCCCUCUUGGUAAUUUCAAUGCAUGCUAAAGUUUAAGAACUACUGAUGCAUAGAAACUCUAAAAUCCAACCAAAAUGGGCUACUGGCCAUUCACCCAAAAUGCUCCUCUACAGUCUCUGACUUACUCUAUAUUCAAUUAAAAGACUUGCAUCAGCAGAGCAACUGUCCAGAGACAAUAGAUUAUUAACAGCUGAUGAAGCACACAUUAUUCACUUUGCUAAAAGUACCCAUUUUCACAUUUAUAUAAUCAUUUAGUAUUCCAUUCAAGUAUUAUUUAGGUCAAAAACAGUUUUCUGAAAAACUAUGUUAGCGAAAUCUACACAAUACCACAUACAAACAAGUCACAGGCAUAAAACAGAUCUUAAUUUAGACGAGUGUGUACCUAGUCAAAGAAAUGACAGUACAAAGGAUUCCUACAGUCCCUGUGAUAGCAGCUGACAGCCUAAGCAGCUCAUUUUGGUUAGAUAAUAUAAGAGUGACUUCCCACUAGCUCAUACUUACAGCAAAUGCCUGAAAUGGUUCCAGCCUAAGCAUAGAUCAAAGAGUUUCUUUUCUUUCCUCUCUUCUUAGUUUCAUUGGAAUUUGAAAAUGACAGAACUUUUCUUUUCAUUGGGUUGCUUUAAAAAGAAUAAGAUAAAUUGUGAGUCUGCCCUUUCCAGAAACCGGGAGCAUACAUAGCAAGUGCACUGUCGCACAGGCAGAUGGUCUGGGUUCAAAGCCCAGUGUCAUCACUUGCCAGGUGGGUAUUCUUGGGUGACUUAACCUCUGGGUGUCCAUUUUCUCAGCUUUGAAGUGGUGAUUUUAAGAAUUCAGUAAAGUAGAGUUCCAGUCCAACAUAGCAACAGAGACACCUGAACUCAUCUCUUCUUAAGAACGCUCCAAAUCUACAGCCACACAUGAAGCAAUGCUCUCCUUCAGAAAUCCAGAAAUCAGCUAACUCCUACCCACUGGGCAAAUGAGAAAAUACCCUAAUAAAAAUGGAUAGGAAAGGCUGAAACACACCCUUGCCAUAAAGCACACCCCAGCACAGUGACAUACAAUCGAGAGGGAUCUCACAACUCCCAGCUUGCUCCUGAAGUGAGGGGUUUGGAUCCCUUAUCUAGUGCUACAAUUUUUGAGACUUUCACUCAAGGAAAGGGCCUUUUAAAGACCUAACUCUCUUAACAACUUUCAAAUAGAUAAUACAGUAUUGUUAACUACAGUCACCAUGCUAGACAUACCAUCCCCAGGGCUUCUUUAUACUAUAGGUUUGUACCUUUUGGACACUUUAAAACAUUGCAUCCACUCACCACCAAUCUGUUAUCUGUACGAGUUCUUUUUAAAAAAUAGAUUCUUAUAAGUGAUAUCAUACAGUAUUUCUCUGACUUAUUUCACUGAGAACAAUGCCCUCAAGGUCUAUCCACGUUGUUGUCACAAAUGACAAGAUUUCCUUUCUUUUUAUGGCUGAAUAAUAUUCCAGAGUGCAUGUGCACACACAUGUGCAUGUGUGCAUGCGCACACACACACACACACAUUUUCUUUAUCCAUUCAUCCCUCAGUGGACACUUAGUUGUUUCCAUGUCCUUUUUGGCUAUAAUUGAAGUGAACAUAGGGAUACAUAUAUUUUUCUUAGGAAUUUACUUUCCUCCAGAUAAAUACCCAGAAGUAGAAUUGCUGGAUUAUAUGCUAGUUCUAUUUUUCAUUUUUGUUUGUUUGUUUGUUUGUUUGAGGAAAUUCUAUACUGUUUUACAUAAUGGCUGUAUCGAUUUAUAUUACCCUCCCCGACCAUACAAAAGCUCCCUUUUUGCAUGUCCUGACACUAUUUGUUAUUUCUUGUCUUUUUGAUAAUAGCCAUUCUAACAGGUGUGAGGUGAUAGCUCAUUGUGGUUUUUACUUGAAUUUCUCAGAUGAUUAGUGGUUUAGAACAUCUUUCCGUGUGUCCGCUAGUCAUCUGCAGGUCUCCUUUGAAAAAAUGCCUAUGUAGGUUUCUGGCCAUUUUUAAUCAAGUGGGUUUUUUUGUUUGUAUAUGUUGAAUUGUGUAAGUUUGUAUAUUUUGGAUAUUAACCCCUUAUCAGAUGUAUCAUUUGCAAAUAUCUUCUCCCAUUCAGUAGGCUGUCUUUUCAUUUUGUUGAUUGUGUCCUUUACUGUUCCAAAGUGUUUUAUUUUUAGUUUGAUUUAGCUUCAUUUGUUUCUGCUUUUGUUUCCCUUGCCUAGGGAGACAUAUCCAAAAAAUAUUGCUGAGACCAAUGUUAAAGAGUGUGCUGCCUAUGUUUUCUUCUAAAAGUUUAAUGUUUUCAGGCCUUAACAUUUAAGUCUUUAAUCAGUUUUUAUUUUUGUAUAUAAGUGAUAUCAUACAGUAUUUCUCUGACUUAUUUCACUGAGAACAAUGCCCUCAAGGUCUAUCCACGGUCACAAAUGACAAGAAAGUAGUCCAGUUUGAUUCUUUUGCAUGAAUCUGUCCAGUUUUCCCAAUACUAUUUAUCGAAUACUAUUUAUUCCUCAUUCUAUAUUCUUGCCUCCUUUGUUGCAGAUUAAUUCAUCAUAUAAGUGUGGGUUUAUUUCUGGGCACUCUAUUCUGUUGAUUUAAAAAAAAAAAAUUGAGGGGGAUCUCCGUGCUGUUCCAUUGAUCUUUGUGUCUGUUUUUGUGCAGUUUUCAUAGUUUUGAUUACUGUAGCUUUGUAGCAUAGUUUAAAAUCAUGGAGCAUGAUAUCCCCAGCCUUGUCCUUUUUCAAGAUUGCUUUGGCUAUUUGGAGGACUUUUGUAUUUCCAUACAAACUUUAGAAUUAUUCCUUCUACUGUGAAAAAUGCCUUUGGUAUUUUGAUAGGGAUUACACUGAAUCUGAAGAUUGCCUUGGGUAGUAAAGUCAUUUUAUAACAUUGAUUCUUCCAAUUCAUUAGUACAGUAUAUCUUUCAUAGAUAUCUAUCAUCUUCAGUUCUUUUCAUCACUAUCAUAGCUUGCUGAGUACAAACAUUUUAUCUCCAUGAUUAGAUUUAUUCUUAGGUAUUUUUCGAUGACAUUAUAAAUUGGAUUGUUUUCUUAAUUUAUCAUUCUCAUAGUUGUAUAUAGCACUACAACAGAUUUGUAUGUAUUAAUUUUGUAUCAGGAAACUUUACUGAAUUAAUUUAUUAGUUCUAAUAGUUUUUUGUUGGUGUUUUAGGGAUAUUGUAUAUACAGUACUAUGUCAUCUGCAAGCAGUGACACUUUUACUUCUUCCUUUCCAAUUUGGAUUCCUUUUAUUUCUUUUUCUUACCUGAUUGCUAUGGCUAGGACUUCCAAUACUACAUUGUAUAAAUAUCACAAAAAUGGGCAUCCUUUUCUCAUGCCUAAUCUUAGAGGAAAUGGUUUCAGCUUUUUCUCAUUGAGUAUGAUGGUGGCUAUAGGUUUGUAAUAUAUGGCUUUUCUCACGUGGAGGGAUGUUUCCCCUAAUCUCCUUUGCUGACAGAUUUUAUCAUAAGUGGAUCUUGAAUUUUGUCAAAACCUUUUCUGCAUAUACUGAGAUGAUUAUAUGAUUUUUAUUCUUCAGUUUGUUAAUGUGGCGUAUCACAGUGAUUGAUUUGCAAAUAUUGAACAAUCCUUUUAUUCCUGGGAUAAAUUCCACCUGAUCAUGGUGUAUGAUUCUUUCAAAUGUACUGUUGAAUUCAGUUGGCUAAUAUUUAGUUGAGGAUUUUUGCAUCGUGUUCAUCAGUGAUACCAACUUAUAAUUUUCUUCUUUGUGUGUUUGUCUGAUUUUGGUAUCAGGAUGAUACUGGCCUUAAGGAAAAAUUCAGAAGAAUUUCCCCCAUCUUCAUUUGCUAGAAUAGUUUGAGGAAGAUACAUGCUGUUUAUAAAUGUUUGGUAGAAUUAAACUGUGAUGCCAUCUGGUCCUUGAUUUUUGUUCAUUGGGAGUUUUUUUUUUAAUUACUGAUUCAAUUUCAUUACUGAUAAUCACUCUGUCCAUAUUAUCUACUUCUUCCUGAUUUAGUCUUAUGAUCCUGACUAUGUUUCCAGAAAUUUAUCCAUUUCUUUUAGGUUUUCCAUUUUAUUUGCAUAUUUGUUCACAGUAAUCUCUUACGGUUCUUUGCAUUUCUGUACCAUCUAUUGUAACUUCUCUUUCAUUUCCAAUUUUUUUUUUUUAAAUUUAGGCUCUCUCUUUUUUUCUUGAUGACUGGGUAAAGGUUAUUGAUUUUGCUUAUGUUUUCAAAGAAACAGCUCCUAGUUUCAUUGAUAUUUUCUACUGUUUUGUUUUUGUUUUUGUUUUAGUCUCUACUUCAUUUAUUUCUGCUCUGAUCUUUACUAUUAUUUACUUUCAUUAACCUUGGGUUUUGUUUUUCUUUUUUCG